rnacentral:rRNA from 1 species
CCUACGGGGGGCUGCAGUAGGGAAUUUUCCACAAUGGACGAAAGUCUGAUGGAGCAACGCCGCGUGCAGGAUGAAGGCCCUCGGGUCGUAAACUGCUUUUAUGUGCGAAGAUUAUGACAGUAACACAUGAAUAAGGGUCGGCUAACUACGUGCCAGCAGCCGCGGUCAUACGUAGGACCCAAGCGUUAUCCGGAAUUACUGGGCGUAAAGAGUUGCGUAGGUGGCAUAGUAAGUAAGAAGUGAAAGCGUUCGGCUCAACCGAAUAUACAUUUCUUAAACUGCUAAGCUAGAGAACGAGAGAGGUAGAUGGAAUUCCCAGUGUAGGAGUGAAAUCCGUAGAUAUUGGGAGGAACACCGAUGGCGUAGGCAGUCUACUGGCUCGUUUCUGACACUAAGGCACGAAAGCGUGGGGAGCAAACAGGAUUAGAUACCCCAGUAGUC